rnacentral:rRNA from 1 species
UCUUGGUCAUUUAGAGGAAGUAAAAGUCGUAACAAGGUUUCCGUAGGUGAACCUGCGGAAGGAUCAUUAUCGAAUUAUAAGCGAGGGUUGUCGCUGGCCUUUCGAGGCAUGUGCACGCCCGAGCUCUUAAUCCAAACCACACCUGUGAACCCUCUGUAGGGCCUCUCCUGUCGUGGGAGGGCGUCCUAUGUUUAUCAUCAACUUCGUAUGUCUAUAGAAUGUCAAUCGAUGCCUUCGCCUUAAAACAGCGUCGGUAAACUUAUACAACUUUCAACAACGGAUCUCUUGGCUCUCGCAUCGAUGAAGAACGCAGCGAAAUGCGAUAAGUAAUGUGAAUUGCAGAUUUUCAGUGAAUCAUCGAAUCUUUGAACGCACCUUGCGCUCCUUGGUAUUCCGAGGAGCAUGCCUGUUUGAGUGUCAUUAAAUUCUCAACCCCGCUUCGAUUUGUUUCGUCGUCGGAGGAUUGGACUUGGAGCGUGCUGGCCCUCCCCGGGGUCGGCUCCUCUUAAAAGCAUCAGCGGAAGGUACCUCUGGUCCGUCUGGUCAUCAGUGUGAUAAUCGUGUUGCGCUGUUGGCUUUGGAUCGGAGAUCCGCUUACAAUGGUCUUCGGACGAUUCUAUAACAAUUUGACCUCAAAUCAGGUAGGACUACCCGCUGAACUUAAGCAUAUCAAUA